UACGGAGGGUGCAAGCGUUAUCCGGAUUCACUGGGUUUAAAGGGUGCGUAGGCGGACAGGUAAGUCAGUGGUGAAAUCUCCGAGCUUAACUCGGAAACUGCCUUUGAUACUCUCUGUCUUGAAUAUGGUGGAGGUAAGCGGAAUAUGUCAUGUAGCGGCGAAAUGCUUAGAGAUGACAUAGAACACCUAUUGCGAAGGCAGCUUACUACGCCUAUAUUGACGCUGAGGCACGAAAGCGUGGGGAUCAAACAGG
rnacentral:rRNA from 1 species